GCCGGCGUAGCUCAGUCGGUAGAGCAACUGACUUGUAAUCAGUAGGUCCCGCGUUCGAUUCGUGGUGCCGGCACCA
rnacentral:tRNA from 2 species